rnacentral:ncRNA from 1 species
AAAGGGUUGCCAACUCGCGAGAGUGAGCCAAUCCCGAAAAGCCGAUCUCAGUCCGGAUCGGAGUCUGCAACUCGACUCCGUGAAGUCGGAAUCGCUAGUAAUCGUAGAUCAGAAUGCUACGGUGAAUACGUUCCCCGGGGCCUUGUACACACCGCCCCGUCACACCCAUGGGGAGUGGACUGCACCAGAAGUGGUUUAGCCCUAAACGCAAAGAGGGGCGAUCACCCACGGGUGUGGGUUUCAUGACUGGGGGGUGAAAGUCGUAAACAAAGGGUAGCCCGUAGGGGGGGAAACCCUGCGGGCUGGGAUCACCCUCCCU